CGGACGGACGGACGGACGGUCACAGCGAGUACGGGAGUGAAAGUCACCCGUCAAGAAAACAAGAAGAUGGACCGAGUUGAACAGGUUCCAGGGUGCGGAGGCGGCGUGUGAAAGCAUCAGCACCCGGGGAUGAGUUUAAUAACUCAGGCUGCACAACACAAGCAUCAUUCACAAGACUGAGGCUCCUGAGAAUAACUGAACACAAGACUUGAGCUCCCCUGAGAUUUAACUGGAACCUGCUGCAGAAAGAGGUGUGAGACGUGCUAAAGCAGCCUGGACUACAAAGCACACCGCAUCAAUACUGUCAACGCCACCCGGGGAAGAAAAAAACUCCCU